CAAGUAAUAUUGGAAGUGAUACUGAAAAUUGGAAUGACACAGAGGAAAUUAGCAUGGGCCCUGUGCAAGGAUAACACACAAACUGGCAAAGCGUUUAAUAUUUUG
ensembl:snRNA U6 U6 spliceosomal RNA